UUUCCGAGGAGGCGAAGGUUUCAAAACUGGAAGGUGAGCUGUACGAAGCUCUUCUGUCCUGCAAGCUUUUCAGACAGCGAACUCAAUCUCUGCUGGCGGAAGCGACUCAACUGGCCGCAGUCGUGGAGCAACUGGCUGAGACUGACUCGGAUGACGAGGACACGGUGUCCACCCGCACAAGCAGCGACUCCCGGGAAUAACUCAAGAAAGUUACUGCUCCGCCAAGUUCUGCGGAAGAUAAAGGAGAAUGCGAGGAGGU